AUUGAACGCUGGCGGCAUGCUUUACACAUGCAAGUCGAGCGGUAACAGGCCUUCGGGUGCUGACGAGUGGCGAACGGGUGAGUAAUGCAUCGGAACGUACCCAGAGGUGGGGGAUAACGCAGCGAAAGCUGUGCUAAUACCGCAUGUGAUCUGAGGAUGAAAGCGGGGGACCGAGCAGCAAUGUUUGGCCUCGCGCCUUUGGAGCGGCCGCUGUCGGAUUAGCUAGUUGGUGGGGUAAAGGCCUACCAAGGCGACGAUCCGUAGCUGGUCUGAGAGGACGAUCAGCGACACGGGGACUGGGACACGGCCCAGACUCCUACGGGAGGCAGCAGUGGGGAAUGGUGGACAAUGGGCGCAAGCAUGAUCCAGCAAUGCCGCGUGCGGGAAGAAGGCCUUCGGGUUGUAAACCGCUUUUGGGAGGAACGAAACGGUGUCCGCUAAUACCGGGCGCUAAUGACGGUACCUGCAGAAUAAGCACCGGCUAACUACGUG
rnacentral:rRNA from 1 species